rfam:Rhizobium sp. PDO1-076 strain PDO-076 ctg304, whole genome shotgun sequence.
GGGGGACGGCCCUCCGGGAUCGGCUUUCAGGAGCAGGUCUCAAACCAGUCCGAGCUGCUGCGGUAAAGAGCCGUGGUGGUGAGCGUCGGAUGAAACGUUCGGACGAGAUCCGAGCAGGU